CUUUUAAAGAGCAGCUUUACUUGGAAGACAGUUAAAUUGCCUGCAGAUCAGCUUUCAAGAGUUGAAUUUAAGCUCUGUUGUAGUUUUAGGGACAA